GCCUUCGUAGUGUAGUGGUCAGCACACUCAACACAUAAGCGAGAGAUCCGUGGUUCGAUUCCUAGCAAAUGCG
rnacentral:tRNA from 1 species